CAGGGAGAGAGGAGUUCUGCAUCAGGACGGCUCACUUCUUACCCAUUCCUAAUUUAGAUGACAUGUGAGAAGAGCCCAUGUGAGGACCCAGUGAGAAGGCAGCUGUCUUUAAGAGGGAAAGUGAGGUCUUACAAAACCAACCCUGACAGAACCUUGACCUCGGACUUCCAGCCUCCAGAAUUAUUUAAAACCCUCAUCCUGAGAAGGGAUCCCCAGGCUUCUCCAGACAACCAGAGGCAUCCACAGCAGACAGAGAUGAACGACCCUCAGUGCAAGAGCCCUAGGGUUACAAGACCUCAAGGUGUCUCUCAUAGGUGUGACAGUAGAUGGCCGCUUAUCCUAGGCACGUGCACAGCUGGAGAAUAUGUAAUAAACAUGGCGGCUGAUACCUUUGUUUCCAUUUUGUAAGAAUCAAGAAUUGGCAUAACCAACUCCCCCGAGUUACUGUAGCAUCAUUUUGCUGCUUCCUGAGGGACAGAUGACUCAGCGCAAGACCUUCCUCCGAAGCACAGGAUGGGUACCGAGAGACACGUCAGCCACCGACGGCCACAGCCCUGCGAGAACAUGCUCCCAGGUAUCUGCUUUGUUUGCCAGUGUGACCCUGUCUCCCACUCCUC